UACGAAGGGGGCUAGCGUUGCUCGGAAUCACUGGGCGUAAAGCGCACGUAGGCGGAUCUUUAAGUCAGGGGUGAAAUCCUGGAGCUCAACUCCAGAACUGCCUUUGAUACUGGGGAUCUCGAGUCCGGGAGAGGUGAGUGGAACCCCGAGUGUAGAGGUGAAAUUCGUAGAUAUUCGCAAGAACACCAGUGGCGAAGGCGGCUCACUGGCCCGGUACUGACGCUGAGGUGCGAAAGCGUGGGGAGCAAACAGG
rnacentral:rRNA from 1 species